GAUGAACGCUGGCUACAGGCUUAACACAUGCAAGUCGAGGGGAAACGCCGGGGAAGCUUGCUUCCCCGGGCGUCGACCGGCGCACGGGUGAGUAACGCGUAUCCAACCUGCCUCUGACUGAGGGAUAACCCGUCGAAAGUCGGCCUAAUACCUCAUGGCAUCGUCUGCGGGCAUCCAACGACGAUUAAAGAUUUCAUCGGUCAGGGAUGGGGAUGCGUCUGAUUAGCUUGUUGGCGGGGGAACGGCCCACCAAGGCUACGAUCAGUAGGGGUUCGGAGAGGAAGGUCCCCCACAAUGGAACUGCGACACGGUCCAAACUCCUACGGGAGGCAGCAGUGAGGAAUAUUGGGCGAUGGGCGGGAGCCUGAACCAGCCAAGUAGCGUGCAGGAUGACGGCCCUAUGGAUUGUAAACUGCUUUUAUGCGGGGAUAAAGUGAGGGACGUGUCCUUCAUUGCAGGUACCGAAUGAAUAAGGACCGGCUAAUUCCGUG
rnacentral:rRNA from 1 species